UACGGAGGGGGCAAGCGUUGUCCGGAUGUAUUGGGCGUAAAGAGCGUGUAGGCGGUUUGGUAGGUCCGCUGUGAAAACUCGAGGCUCAACCUCGAGACGCCGGUGGAAACCAUCAGACUAGAGUCCGGAAGAGGAGAGUGGAAUUCCUGGUGUAGCGGUGAAAUGCGCAGAUAUCAGGAAGAACACCCGUGGCUAAGGCGGCUCUCUAGUACGGUACUGACGCUGAGGCACGAAAGCGUGGGGAGCAAACAGG
rnacentral:rRNA from 1 species